rnacentral:rRNA from 1 species
GUCUACGGCCACACCACCCUGAACGUGUCCGAUCUCGUCCGAUCUCGGAAGCUAAGCAGGGUCGGGCCUGGUCAGUACUCGGAUGGGAGACCACAGAGGAAGACCAGGUAGUUAAAAAAA